rnacentral:lncRNA from 1 species
ACACACACACUACACGUAUCAAUGCCAUAAUUUAAUACCUAUUAAUAUGUUAUAUACCAAUAAAAGUAUCAUACAUACAAAAUCAGUGCACAAUAUUUUAAACUUGAAUUACAAAUUCUAAUAGUAGUCUUCCAAAAGCAUGCUAGUCAGUCUUAUAUUCUUUCAAGUACAAUGUUCUCUCACGAGAUCCUCGUGCUUGAUCUUCAUGCUUCACUUGAAUCCCAUCCUAAACUCUAGCUUGCUAUAUCAUAAAAGAAAGACAACAUACCUGUAAUUAGCCAAAUAGCGACUUAAGCCAAGAAGACAACUUAGAUGCUAAUGACU